rnacentral:rRNA from 1 species
AGAAUCAACGCUGGCGGCGUGCCUAACACAUGCAAGUCGAACGAGAAAGUGGAGCAAUCCAUGAGUAAAGUGGCGCACGGGUGAGUAACACGUGACUAACCUACCCUUGAGUGGGGAAUAACUUCGGGAAACCGAGGCUAAUACCGCAUAAUACCUACGGGUCAAAGGAGCAAUUCGCUUAAGGAGGGGGUCGCGGCAGAGUUAGUUAGUUGGCAGGGUAAUGGCCUACCAAGACGGUGAUCUGUA